rnacentral:misc_RNA from 1 species
GAUGAAGAACGCAGCGAAAUGCGAUACUUGGUGUGAAUUGCAGAAUCCCGUGAACCAUCGAGUCUUUGAACGCAAGUUGCGCCCGAAGCCAUCAGGUUGAGGGCACGUCUGCCUGGGCGUCACAUAUCGUUGCCCAAUGCCUAUUGCAGUGCAAUAGGAAUUUCUAGGGCGAAUGAUGGCUUCCCGUGAGCGUUGUUGCCUCGCGGUUGGUUGAAAAUCGAGUCCUUGGUAGGGUGUGCCAUGGUAGAUGGUGGUCGAGUUAGAACGAUACCGAUCAUGUGCAUGCUCCCCAAAAUAUGGCCUCUAUGACCCACACGCGUCUUUUGACGCUCAUGACGAGACCUCAGGUCAGGCGGGGCUACCCGCUGAAUUUAAGCAUAUCAUAAGCGGAGGA